rnacentral:lncRNA from 1 species
AGGGGGGGGGGGGUGCUGAUUUACCGCUGCAGAAGCUGCUUUUGUCGUAAGGCGACGGACCGAAUGGAAGUGUCGAAGGGGCCGUGAGGUGAAUGUCGGUGCGCGGGAAGCCGUGGGGCAGCGAGCGCACGGGCGCGUGGAGCCGGUAACCUGAGGAGAAAUCUGAACCGCUGCACAAUCUGGAAUGCAAAUCGGGUGUGAGGUAGAGACGGCUCAUUCUGCCUCUGCCUGCAGAGGUUUGGCUUCUGUCUUCUGAAUUCACGGUGGAGCGGCUAAGCUGGAAAGGAGUUCUACGGUGUUGUUUGCAGCUCUUUUAAAUACGGUAUAAAUGUUAGCAACCGUGGAACUCUGGGCUUUCCCGAGCUUCUGGUUACUCAGAACAAUCUCCCAGAACCAGGAAAGAAAAAUGGAGCUCCAGUACACUUGAGUAACAUUGUAAGCCUUUAUAGUUCCUUAAAAGGAAACAGCGGCCAGUCCGAGGGAUUUUCUGCUGUAGUUCAGACACAGUUUGGGGAGGGGGAUAAAUGAUUUACCAGAGUUGUAGUAACAUGAGAUCAUGAACUGGGCUUAGUGCUGUGUGAGCAUCUUGUUCGUUCCUCUUUAGGUUGUUCUUCCACCACCACAAUAAAAUGUGCUUAAUUAGUAAAAUGCUUU